AUGGCGGAGGCUGUUGUCGGGCACCUGGUGGUCAUGCUCGGCUCGGCGCUGGCGACAGAGGCGGCCACCUUCGGCUGGGCGCUGCUGUGCCAGGAAACCGCCGCCCUGAGGGGCCUCUUCGGCAAGAUCCGCGAGUCCAAGGCGUCUCUAAUGAAUUCAUUUUCAUAA
rnacentral:rRNA from 1 species